GAGUUUGAUCGUGGCUCAGAUUGAGCGCUGGCGGCAUGCCUACACAUGCAAGUCGAACGGCAGCAUGAUCUAGCUUGCUAGAUUGAUGGCGAGUGGCGAACGGGUGAGUAAUACAUCGGAACGUGCCCUGUAGUGGGGGAUAACUAGUCGAAAGAUUAGCUAAUACCGCAUACGACCUGAGGGUGAAAGUGGGGGACCGCAAGGCCUCAUGCUAUAGGAGCGGCCGAUGUCUGAUUAGCUAGUUGGUGGGGUAAAGGCCCACCAAGGCGACGAUCAGUAGCUGGUCUGAGAGGACGAUCAGCCACACUGGGACUGAGACACGGCCCAGACUCCUACGGGAGGCAGCAGUGGGGAAUUUUGGACAAUGGGCGAAAGCCUGAUCCAGCAAUGCCGCGUGUGUGAAGAGG
rnacentral:rRNA from 1 species